UACGUAGGAGGCAAGCGUUGUCCGGAAUUAUUGGGCGUAAAGCGCGCGCAGGCGGUCCUAUAAGUCUGAUGUGAAAGCCCACGGCUCAACCGUGGAGGGGCAUUGGAAACUGGAGGACUUGAGUACAGAAGAGGAAAGCGGAAUUCCACGUGUAGCGGUGAAAUGCGUAGAGAUGAGGAGGAACACCGGUGGCGAAGGCGCCUUUCUGGUCUGUAACUGACGCUGAGGCGCGAAAGCGUGGGGAGCAAACAGG
rnacentral:misc_RNA from 1 species